rnacentral:tRNA from 1 species
AGUGGUGUAGCUUAGUGGUAGAGCACUGGCUAAGUAUGCCUGACACCCUGGGCCCAACCCCCAGUACUACUA